rnacentral:snRNA from 1 species
AAAUUCUAGUGGAAAAUACUUACCCGGCAAUCACGAAGGUGGUUUUCUCAGGGUGAGGCUGAUCCAUUGCACUGGGGACCUGCCAUUUCCCACAUGGGGGAAACUUGACUACAUAAUUUGUGUUGGUGGGGGACUGUAUCUGUGCUUCCCCUCU